AGUCUCGAGGCUUUGUUCACAAUUUCACAUCUAUAAAAAUGGUCAAGAAACGCAGAACACAUCUUAGUUUGAUUGGUUCACGUGGAAACCCCGGCAAGGGAUGGCCACGGGCACGUGAGAAUUGUGGUCCAUGUCUCAAUCUGCGACGUGUUUCAAUUUCUUAAGCCUGAAAGGCUGACAGCCUGUUUCAUGAAUCAUCACCUAGCUUCAAAAUCUUGGUCACUCCUUUUUUAGGUAUGGUAUGAGAAAUUAUAUCGCUUACAUGCGGCCCAAAAAUUAGUGACUCGUUUCGCUAAUCCAUAACCUAAAAAUUAUUGUCUAGAACAGUGAAGCCUAAUUAUAUAUGGGCCUUAAGAAGCCUAGUUCAAUUUCUUUAAUUGGGUAAGUGAUAUCAAAUGUAAGAUGUCCACUGAAUUUAAAUUAUGGUCAACGAGGAGUUUAUAUUUGUGAAUAAUUUGGAUUAUUUUUAAGCCAGUUGAUAACAACUUUGAUGACAAAUUGUAACAAAUAAGUUUGUCUGUUGCAGGAAUUUACUCAUUGCUUGCGUAAGACGUGAGUGGGAUCACAAUGU
rnacentral:lncRNA from 1 species